GAUCCUGUCAGGACGAACGCUGGCGGCGUGCCUAACACAUGCAAGUCGAACGGAGAAUUUUAUUUCGGUAGAAUUCUUAGUGGCGAACGGGUGAGUAACGCGUAGGCAACCUGCCCUUUAGACGGGGACAACAUUCCGAAAGGAGUGCUAAUACCGGAUGUGAUCAUCGUGCCGCAUGGCAGGAUGAAGAAAGAUGGCCUCUACAAGUAAGCUAUCGCUAAAGGAUGGGCCUGCGU
rnacentral:rRNA from 1 species